rnacentral:rRNA from 1 species
AUGAACGCUGGCGGCGUGCCUAACACAUGCAAGUCGAGCGGCAGCAUCACCUUCGGGUGGAUGGCGAGCGGCGGACGGCUGAGUAACACGUAGGAAUGUACCCCAGAGUGAGGAAUAACUGCCCGAAAGGGUAGCUAAUGCCGCAUACGCUCUUCGGAGUAAAGGCUUCGGCCGCUUUGGGAACAGCCUGGCGUACGAUUAGAUAGUUGGUGAGGUAAUGCUCACCAAGUCGACGAUCGUUAAUUGGUCUGAGAGGAAUGACCAGUCAGACUGGAACUGAGACACGGUCCAGACUCCUACGGGAGGCAGCAGUGAGGAAUCUUCCACAAUGGCGAAAGCCUGAUGGAGCAACGCCGCGUGCAGGAUGAAGCCUUCGGGUUGUAAACUGCUUUAUGAGUGAAGAAUAUGACGGUAACUCAUGAAUAAGGGUCGGCUAACUACGUGCCAGCAGCCGCGGUCAUACGUAGGAACCCAAGCGUUAUCCGGAUUUACUGGGUGUAAAAGAGUGCGUAGGCGGCUCGUAAAGCAAAUAGUGAAAGCUGGUCGCUCAACGAUCAAAACAUUAUUUGAACUCACGAGCUCGAGAGUGAUAGAGGUUACUGGAAUUUCUAGUGUAGGAGUGAAAUCCGUGAUAUUAGAAGGAACACCAAUGGCGUAGGCAGGUAACUAGAUCAUUUCUGACGCUCAGGCACGAAGGCGUGGGGAGCGAACCGGAUUAGAUACCGGGUAGUCCACGCCGUAAACUAUGGAUGCUAGCUGUCGGGGGUAUCGACCCCCUCGGUAGCGAAGCUAACGCGUUAAGCAUCCCACCUGUGGAGUACGAGCGCAAGCUUAAAACAUAAAGGAAUUGACGGGGACCCGCACAAGCGGUGGAUCAUGUUCUUUAAUUCGAUGAUAAACGAAGAACCUUACCAGGUUUGACAUCCCUUGAAUCUGGGCGAAAGUCCGGAGUGCUUUAUUGAACAAGGUGACAGGUGAUGCAUGGCCGUCCGUCAGCUCGUGUCGUGAGAUGUUUGGUUAAGUCCAUCAACGAGCGCAACCCUUGUCUUCAGUUGUAUUUUUCUGAAGAGACUGCCCCGGCAACGGGAGGAAGGAGGGGAUGAUGUCAGGUCAGUAUUUCCCUUACAUCCUGGGCUAGAAAACGUGAUACAAUGGCCGGUACAAUGCGCAGCAAGAAGCCGCGAGGUGGAGCAAAUCGCAUCAAAGCCGGUCCCAGUUCGGAUAGGAGGCUGAAAACUCGCCUCCUUGAAGUCGGAAUCGCUAGUAAUCGCAGGUCAGCAUACUGCGGUGAAUACGUUUCCAGGGUCUUGUACACACCGCCCGUCAAACCAUGAAAGUCACCAACACCCGAAGUCCGAUUCGUCGGCCUAAGGUGGGGGGAUGAUUGGGGUU